AGUGAACGCUGGCGGCAGGCCUAACACAUGCAAGUCGAGCGGCAGCGGGUUCCCGCGAGGGGAUGCCGGCGAGCGGCGGACGGGUGAGGAACACAUCGGAAUCUGCCUGGUUGUGGGGGAUAACGUAGGGAAACUUACGCUAAUACCGCAUGCGACCCUGAGUCGACGGACUGGGGGUGAAAGUGAGGGACCUUCGGGCCUCACGCGACCAGAUGAGCCGAUGUCGGANAGCUAGUUGGCGGGGUAACGGCCCGCCAAGGCGACGAUCCGUAGCUGGUCUGAGAGGAUGAUCAGCCACACUGGGACUGAGACACGGCCCAGACUCCUACGGGAGGCAGCAGUGGGGAAUCUUGGACAAUGGGCGCAAGCCUGAUCCAGCCAUG
rnacentral:rRNA from 1 species